GGUUCAGUGUGGUUAUUGAAGUGAAGUCUGGAAGGAACUGAAACUCAGCUAUUCGUAAAUUUUACAACUUGUGGUUUGCUAUGUUGUGUGUACUAUAUUGUGGUACACAGUGGUAUGUUGUACUACACAUAUUGGAUGUAAUCAAAAUUGUUUGGAAGGCCAGAGGAGUUGUCCCUUGCUAUGUACAUUGCCCCACCUGCCAAAUGCCCUGUUUCUAUCAUAAAGCCUAUAAGUGUCCUUUGAACUAGUGUAUUUGGGCUACGUUCUGAAGGAGUGAUAUGCAAGUGAUCCCCUAAUUGCUUGUAAGGGAACUUUCGGAAAAGAUUUAAGGAUCCAGAGGGUUUCGUAUGCAGCAAAUGAAAUGUGUUUUGUCAAACGUUAGAAGUAGAGAGGCUAAGACUCCUUCAAGAGUUGGAGAUAUUUGUGACAAAGGAAAAUAAGCAGCUGUGUAAAAUGAGGGAAGAUGGAAGUAUUAAUCUGUAGUCCCACGGGUGCAGUGGCUUGUGGAGAUAUUGGCCGCACAUUCACUCCUGGUGGUUGUUUACGAGGAGAAACCUCAUGCGCUAAGAGUACACAUCUAUUUGGCCCCACAUACGUCAUAAACUCACGCACGAGGACUUAAGUUUAGUUGUCUUAAGUGAUUAGCUUCGACAUUGAGAAACUGGAUAUGACGAAAAAUUGAAAGGAACAAGACUACGUACCAACAAGUUGAGGAUAUCUCGAAACAAGUUAUGACUGAAAAUGGAGACAAUUUCAAUAAGUUCAAUCUCAUCCAGUGUACGUUCUAUGAAAAGGAAAGUAUCCAGAUUUGUGUUCAAAGUCUAAUAGUUUACCUGUCAGAUUUACUUCAAUCACACUUAGAGGUAUCAGACAAAUCUACUGUUAGGUUAUGUAAAUCUAGUAGGUGAACGCUUUUUACUAGAUAAGUUUUUUUUUUCAAGGAAUGUAACUUUGAGAGGGAUUUAAUAUUUUCAGUCAUAUCAUCAUUAUGCAACAGCAUUUCAUUUCAUUCAUGCAGUAUAAUUUUUAAUGUGUACUAUUAAAUAAAAAGAAAGCACUUU